UGUAAUGUUGUAAAGAUGGUUUCUGUGGUAGU
rnacentral:piRNA from 1 species